AAAUUCAAAGCUCAGCCAUUUCUGCAGAAAAUAAAAGUUGCCUGAAUCUGGAAAAAUAAUAAAAAGUGGGCUGUUUUUGGUAAAUUCCCAAAACUAAAUCACUUUAGUCUUAUUAAACUUUUUUUCAUCACCAAUCAUGUAGGUACCAUGGCCGUUAUGGAUAAAUAUCUUGGAACUAAUCAAGUGCUUUGUGACAUCCUUAAAUCUGAGCAGUCUAUCAUGAGAAGGCAUCAGCAAAGAAAAGGGAGCACAACCAAUGAUUCCAAGCAGGCACCAAGGUCUGGUGCGCACAUUAACCAAAGACCAGUGGUGAGAGGGGCUUUUCUCUGAGCUGUAAUUCCCAUAACAUUCUUUUAAAGAAAAGAAGCCACCUUUAACCUCCAUAUAUUGAUAGUGGAAAGAGUGCAUGCAGGGAAAUUCUCCACAUUUUGCCGCAUCUCUGGUGCUUCUUUCUCCGUGUCUAGUGGGGAGCAUGGAAUAUGAAAGCAGGACAUGAAUAAAGGGUGAAGGGGGUGGGGAAGUGAUGCUCCUCAAUUCAUUGAAAGCUACGUGGCUUUUCCUUAUGGUCUGACAUUGCUUGAUGGUACGGAUCCUCAUGCGUUGGUUGCCUGAGAACCAGAAGGCAGUGGGGGUACCUGUGGUGCUACAUGGAGAGAGGCUUUUCGGCAGGCAAUGGUGGUGGAGUCUAAAAUAUAUUGCAUCUAGUUUUCUUGGAUGUUCAAAAUGCCCAUAAUUUGAGUUUGUGUUGCUUGAAUGAGUUGUGAUGAUUCCUGUUGGCAACUCUAGUGGCGUUUGUGCUAGAGGAUCUAAAAGCUGGACUUGAGUCCUUGAUAAUUUUAAACUGCUGGUUUGCAGGGUAUUGAGGCUUUUCGGAUACCCUAACAGAGAUGUAUGGUUGUGAAUAGAUCUAUUUAGAAUUAUGUAUGUAAAUGGAGUUAGAGAUCACAAUGUUGCCUAA